rnacentral:rRNA from 1 species
UGCCUCAGUAACGGCGAGUGAAGCGGCAAAAGCUCAAAUUUGAAAUCCUUCGGGAAUUGUAUUUUGAAGGUGGGUUUGGUUAGGAAAAGAUACUUUAAGUCCAUUGGAAAAUGGCGCCAUGGAGGGUGAUAGCCCCGUAAAAGUACCCCCUUUUCCUUUUAUCCAUUCCCUCCAAAGAGUCAAGUUGUUUGGGAAUGCAGCUCUAAGUGGGGGGUAAAUUCCAUCUAAAGCUAAAUAUUGGCGAGAGACCGAUAGCGAACAAGUACAGUGAUGGAAAGAUGAAAAGCACUUUGAAAAGAGAGUGAAAAAGUACGUGAAAUUGUUGAAAGGGAAGGGCUUGCAAGCAAACACAACCUCGGUUGGGCCA